GUUAAUAAAAUAUACAAAUGCUAAUGACCAACUAUUAUGCAGGGAGAGAAACGACAACUGAAGACAGUUGCUAAUACCCAAUAGGCUCAAAAGCAAAAAGAGAAAUCCACCAAAGGAGAGGCUCACUUCUAACUAGCUAGUUAAUGAGGAAUUAGCUUAUCAAGGCGAUGUCAAUAGCUAAUUCAAGAGGAUGAUUAGCCACACUAGAACUAAGAUGGCCUAGACUCGCACGAGAGACAGUAGUGAAAUUUUUUUCGUAAUGUGCAAAAACUUGACAAAGUAGUACCUCAUGGAGGUAGAAGGUCUUUGGGCCGUAAACUUCUUUUCCUGGAGAAUAAGUAAUUACAGUAUGUGAAAUAUAAACAUCAGCUAACUUUGUGCCAACAGUUGCGGUAGCAUAAAGGAUGUA
rnacentral:ncRNA from 1 species